AUGCAUGUCUAAGUGGAGUAUUAUAUAGCGAAACUGCGAACGGCUCAUUACAACAGAUAUAAUUUACUAGUUCUUGAUCCUAUAUGGAUAACUGCGGUAAUUCUGGAGCCAAUACAUGCAUCAAUCCUCGGCUCUCGGGUCGGGGUGCAAUUAUUGGAGCAAAACCAGUCUUGAACUGUUUGCUAACUCUGGAUAAUUCAGCAUAUCGCAUGGUCUUGUACCGGCGAAGUUUCUUUCAAGUAUCUGCUUUAUCAACUAUCGUUGGUAGUUUAUUGGUCUACCAUGGUGUUGACGGGUAACGGAGAAUCAGGGUUUGACUCCGGAGAGGGAGCCUUAGAAACGGCUACCAUGUCUAAGGAUAGCAGCAGGCGCGAAAAUUACCCAAUAUCAAAACGAUGAGGUAGUGACGAGAAAUAACGAGAUCGUUCUCUCUGAGAUCGAUUAUUGGAAUGAGUACAAUCCAGAAAUUUUAACGAGUACCUACGAGAGGGCAAGUCUGGUGCCAGCAGCCGCGGUAAUUCCAGCUCUCGUAAUGUAUAGAAUUAUUGUUGCGAUUAAAAAGUUCGUAGUUGGAUUGCAACGCAGACAUGGGUCCAUCUUCGUGAUGCGCACUCAUUGUUUGCAUUUUGCAGGUUUUUGCGGCGUUGAUUCGUCAGCGUCCGUGAUGCUUGCAGGAUUACUUUGAACGGCUCAAGUGCUUAAAGCGAGUCUUAUGACUGAAUACCGGUGCAUGGAAUAAUGGAAUAGGGUUUUGGCCGAGUUUUAUUGGUUUUGUCGGCUGAAACAAUGGUUAACAGGAACAGCCGGGGGCAUUCGUAUCGCUGCGCGAGAGGUGAAAUUCGUGGACCGUAGCGAGACGCCCGACAGCGAAGGCAUUUGCCAAGAGUGUUUUCAUUAAUCAAGAACGAAAGUCAGAGGUUCGAAGGCGAUUAGAUACCGCUCUAGUUCUGACCGUAAACGAUGCCAACUGUCGAUCCGCUUGUGGAUUUCAUUCAUAAGCGGGGAGAUUUCCGGAAACGAAAGUUUUUCGGUUUCGGGGGAAGUAUGGUUGCAAAGCUGAAACUUAAAGGAAUUGACGGAAGGGCACCACCAGGAGUGGAGCUUGCGGCUUAAUUUGACUCAACACGGGAAAUCUCACCCGGCCAGUACAUCGUAAGGAUUGACAGAUUGAUAGCUUUUUCAUGAUUCGGUGAAUGGUGGUGCAUGGCCGUUCUUAGUUCGUGGAUUGAUUUGUCUGGUUUAUUCCGAUAACGAACGAGACUUUAACUAUUAAAUAGUGCGCUUGUUGCUUCGGCUGCGAGUGUUUCACUUCUUAAAGGAAUUUGUGGUGUUUAACCUCAAGAAAUUGAGCAAUAACAGGUCUGUGAUGCCCUUAGAUGUUCGGGGCCGCACGCGUGCUACAAUGAUGGUAACAGCGUGAUUGUCCUCUUCCGACAGGAAUUGGCAAACAGUUGAGAUAUUAUUAUGGCUGGAAUUGAGUGUUGAAAUUUUCUCUCAUGAACGAGGAAUUCCAAGUAAAUGUGAGUCAUUAACUUGCAUUGAUUACGUCCCUGCCCUUUGUACACACCGCCCGUCGCUGCCCGGGACUGAGUUACUUCGAGAAAACUAGGGAUUGUUGAAGUUCGAUGCUUUUGUAUUGUCUUCGAUGCGAACUAGUUUAAUCGCAGUGGCUUGAACCGGGCAAAAGUCGUAACAAGGUAGCCGUAG
rnacentral:rRNA from 1 species